GGUUGUAGUUCAGUGGUAGAGCACUUGUCUGGCACAUGUGAGAUACUGGGUUCAAUCCUCAGCACCA
rnacentral:tRNA from 1 species